rnacentral:rRNA from 1 species
GAUGAACGCUGGCGGCGUGCCUAAUACAUGCAAGUCGAGCGAACAGACGAGGAGCUUGCUCCUCUGACGUUAGCGGCGGACGGGUGAGUAACACGUGGAUAACCUACCUAUAAGACUGGGAUAACUUCGGGAAACCGGAGCUAAUACCGGAUAAUAUAUUGAACCGCAUGGUUCAAUAGUGAAAGACGGUUUUGCUGUCACUUAUAGAUGGAUUCGCGCCGCAUUAGCUAGUUGGUAAGGUAACGGCUUACCAAGGCAACGAUGCGUAGCCGACCUGAGAGGGUGAUCGCCCACACUGGAACUGAGACACGGUCCAGACUCCUACGGGAGGCAGCAGUAGGGAAUCUUCCGCAAUGGGCGAAAGCUUGACGGAGCAACGCCGCGUGAGUGAUGAAGGUCUUCGGAUCGUAAAACUCUGUUAUUAGGGAAGAACAAAUGUGUAAGUAACUAUGCACGUCUUGACGGUACCUAAUCAGAAAGCCACGGCUAACUACGUG